CCCUUAGAUGUUCUGGGCCGCACGCGCGCUACACUGAUGCAUUCAACGAGUGUACCUUGGCCGAGAGGCCUGGGCAAUCUUUUGAACGUGCAUCGUGAUAGGGAUAGAUUAUUGCAAUUAUUAAUCUUGAACGAGGAAUUCCUAGUAAACGCAAAUCAUCAAUUUGCAUUGAUUACGUCCCUGCCCUUUGUACACACCGCCCGUCGCACCUACCGAUUGAAUGGUCCGGUGAAGCCUCGGGAUUGUGGCCAGUUCACUUUAUUGGGAGUUGGCUGUGAGAACUUGUCUAAACCUUAUCAUUUAGAGGAAGGUGAAGUCGUAACA
rnacentral:rRNA from 1 species